UGGGCUUUUACAGUAAGGGCCCUAGAAUUAUUCUAGCACCGCCUAAACAAGAUUGAAUUGUUGCUAGAUCAAUCAAUGCACCGCCGUCCGCCGCCGUCUGAUGAUCUUGUCGGGUCCCCUUCAAGGAUGAUGUUUUUUUAAGUGAUGUGAGACAUCUCCGGCAUCUGAAUCCCUCAACGGAGGUUACUGGAUGAUACCCAUUACAAUGUCGGAGACAUUUUGAAUGAUUCAUACAAUACCAAAAUAUGAGAACUUGUUUGACUUCCUCCUCUUCCUCUGCCUCUUUGCGAUUGAUUACUUCACAAUCCCAUCAUUUUCUCUCUUCAAUUACCUCAUGGAGAUCAUUCUUUAGUGAUUCUUCUUUCUCCAAUUCGACAGAAUCUUCCCUCACGGAUGCUGGACAGAUUGGUUCUUCAUUAGCUUCCAAUGAUGUAUCCAGUUCAGAAUUUUGUACAUCUGUUUCAGAAAACAAAGUUGUUACAUCCGUGGAAGUCAUAAGGAUUCUGUUAAGCCAUCGGCAAAACCCCAAUUCUGCUUUAGAUUACUUCAACUUGGCUAAGAAACAUUGCGGUUUUCUAACUGCCACCAUUGAUCCUUUUAGUGUUUUGCUUCAUAUUUUAGUGAGUUCCUUGAAUUAUCAUAAGAUAUGUAAGAAAUUAUUGAACCAAUUAGUUUCAGAGGAUUCUAGUCCCUCUGCUUGUGUCUUUCUUGAUAGUUUGGUUGAAUGUUCAAGAAAGUAUGGAUUUGAUUUCAGCACUCCAAUUUUUAGUUAUAUGUUGAAUAGUUACAUCAGGGCUGCUCGAUUAAGAGAAUGUAUCAACUGUGUUUAUAGAAUGAAUGAACUGGAUAUAGGCUUGUCCAUAAGGUGUAUAAAUAUUCUAUUUACUGCAUUAGUUAGGAAGAAGAUGACCAGCGAGGCAUUGUCAUUGUUUGAUGAAUUGGUUUCUAGAAACGAGAAUGAGUACAAUAGUGCCACCGUGGAUGUGAUUAUGCGCGCAUGUUUACAAGAGAAGAACUUUGAUUUGGCAAAUAGAUAUUUUCAGGAAGCCAAGUCUCGUGGCCUUGAGCUUGAUGCGAUCACGUACAGCACAGCUGUUCAAUCUGCUUGUGGAAAACCAGAUCUUGAUCUCGCGUGUUUGUUAGUAAAUGAGAUGAAGAAAAAAGGUUGGUCUCCAUCUGAGCGGAUAUAUACAUUUCUAAUUUCGACUCUCGUGAGACAUGGGAACAUGAAAAGUGCUUUAACGCUCAAGGAGGAAAUGAUCGACAGUGGAAAAUCGAUGAACUUAGUACUUGCGACGAGUUUGAUGAAGGGUUACUACAAGCAGGGGCAAUUGAGCAAGUCUUUAGAAUUGUUUGACAAGAUUGUUGAAAGUGGACUAAAUCCAAACAAGAUAACUUACUCUGUGAUCAUCGAGGGAUGUUAUCGGAAUGGAAAAAUGGAAAAAGCAUGUGACUUUUAUAACCAAAUGAAAGCGGCAGGCAUUCAACCAAGCGUUUUCAAUGUGAAUUCACUAAUACACGGUUUCUUGAGAGAAAGGAAAUCCGAAGAGGCAUUCAAAUGGUUUGAUGAGGCAGUUGACUCUGGCAUUGCUAAUGUGUUCACAUAUAACCACAUGUUAUCCUGGUUAUGUAAAGAGGGGAAGGUGAAUAAAGCAGGCAGUCUAUGGGAUAAGAUGAUUGCAAGAGGAGUUGAACCGAGUGUGGUUUCAUAUAAUAACUUGAUUCUUGGCCAUUCUCGGAAAGGGAACAUGAAGGUAGCAUCGUCUUUAUUAGAUCAGAUGCUGGAAAAUGGUUUGAAGGCCAAUGUAGUCACAUACUGUAUCUUGAUUGAUGGUUAUUUCAGAAAAGGUGGGGCUGAAGAAGCACUUGACGUUUAUAGUCACAUGCUUGGUUUGGGAAUUGCCCCGACUGCCUACACAUUCAAUACGCUAAUCAAUGGUCUAUGCAAAUCUGGCUGCACUUCAAAAGCAAGAGCUAUGCUUAAAGAUCUUGGUGAGGAUGUAUUUAUUCGAUUUAUCCCCUCCUGCAUGUCUUACAAUUGCAUUAUCGAUGGCUUUAUCAAGGAGGGAACGAUGGACUCUGCGUUAGCUGUCUACAGCGAGAUGUGUGAAAAUGGAGUUUCUCCAAGUGUUGUAACAUACACCACUCUUAUUGAUGGGUUUUGCAAAAGCAAUAAUAUUGAUCUUGCUUUAAAGAUUCGUAACGAGAUGAGAAGCAAGGGUAUUGAAUUGGAUGUAACCGCAUAUAGUGCUCUUAUAGAUGGUUUUUGUAAAAAGAGGGAUAUGGGUCGUGCAUGUGAACUCUUCCAAGAGCUUCUUCAAGUAGGGUUAUAUCCAAAUAAAGUUGUCUACAAUAGCUUGAUUAGUGGAUUCAAAAAUGUAAACAAUACGAAAGAAGCACUUGUCUUUCAAAGAAGAAUGAUUGCCGAGGGUAUUCCAUGUGAUUUGGGAACUUAUACUACAUUAGUAGAUGGUUAUCUAAAACAGGGAGAAAUAAUCUUUGCAUCUGAACUUUAUAGUGAGAUGCUUGCCAAGGGAAUAGUACCCGAUAUCAUAAUGUAUACUGUUCUUAUAAACGGUUUGUGUAACACACGACAAUUAGAGAAUGCCCAUAAUGUUUUUGAGGACAUGAAGAAGAACAAAAUGGUUCCAGAUGUCCUAAUCUACAACACAUUGAUUGCUGGGUACUUCAAGGAAGGGAAUCUGCAGGAAGCCUUUAAAUUGCAUGAUGAGAUGCUUAACAAUGGCCUGAAACCUGAUGACACAACUUAUGACAUUCUUAUAAGUGGGAAGUUCAAAGGGGAUAACAGCAACGAUGGAGAUCCGUCCGUCUAAAUACAAGAGGAAACUUGUUUAGAGAUUCUUACAUGCAGUGAAGCUCAUAUAUGUGCAUAAACUGAUGAAAGGACUAUAUAUGGUGUCAGUCGAAUCCUUUUCUUGUUCAUACAACUGACUAGGUAUGAUGACUGGUGUGGUUGAGCCCAAAUUGUUCAAAUGCUUGCUUAGGAUUUUAUUGAAUGCUUCCUAGAUUGAGAAUUUUCAGGUGUGAACAUUUCUGCAUACGUGCUCUACUAUUUCUAGUUCGCCGUAACACUUAAUUGCCCACUAUUUGAAGAUGAGGAAUGAAACUAUAAACUCCUCAAUCUUCUCUGGCUGCAGGUAAGAAAAAUAACCUGUUGUUCCCUUCUACCAUAGUUAAUCAGUGCUUUAAGAUGUAAAUAGCGUUUCAGCUAUAUCUGAAGCAAUCUUUAAUUAACCUAUACAAUUAAAUUGAUUUGUAAAGAUUAUGUUUUGUUAAAUUAUAAUUGUAUUUUCCUACA